rnacentral:rRNA from 1 species
UCCAGACUCCUACGGGAGGCAGCAGUGAGGAAUAUUGGUCAAUGGGCGGAAGCCUGAACCAGCCAAGUCGCGUGAGGGAAUAAGGCCCUACGGGUCGUAAACCUCUUUAGGCGGGGAGCAAUGCCGGGCACGUGUGCCCGGAGGGAGAGUACCCGCAGAAUAAGCAUCGGCUAACUCCGUGCCAGCAGCCGCGGUAAUACGGAGGAUGCGAGCGUUAUCCGGAUUUAUUGGGUUUAAAGGGUGCGUAGGCGGAUUUUUAAGUCAGCGGUAAAAUGUCCGGGCUCAACCCGGGCCGGCCGUUGAAACUGGGGAUCUUGAGUGGGCGAGAAGUAUGCGGAAUGCGUGGUGUAGCGGUGAAAUGCAUAGAUAUCACGCAGAACUCCGAUUGCGAAGGCAGCAUACCGGCGCCCGACUGACGCUGAGGCACGAAAGCGUGGGUAUCUAACAGGAUUAGAUACCCCAGUAUAG